GAUGAAGAACGCAGCGAAAUGCGAUAAGUAAUGUGAAUUGCAGAAUUCAGUGAAUCAUCGAAUCUUUGAGCGCACCUUGCGCUCUUUGGUAUUCCGAAGAGCAUGCCUGUUUGAGUGUCAUGAAAAUAUCAACCUUGACUUGGGUUUUGUGCUCUAGUCUCGGCUUGGAAUUGGGUGCUUGCCGCUUUUACGAGCGGCUCACCUUAAAUGUAUUAGCUGGAUCUGUCUUUGAGACUUGGUUUGACUUGGCGUAAUAAGUAUUUCGCUAAGGACAUUCUUCGGAGUGGCCUCGUUUCUAGGACGCUUGUCCGCUUUCCAAUACAAGUUCCACCUCGUGGACAUGACUUUUUAUUAUCUGGCCUCAAAUCAGGUAGGACUACCCGCUGAACUUAAGCAUAUCAAUAAGCGGAGGA
rnacentral:misc_RNA from 1 species